rnacentral:rRNA from 1 species
GACGAACGCUGGCGGCGUGCUUAACACAUGCAAGUCGAACGGAAAGGCCCCUUUGGGGGUACUCGAGUGGCGAACGGGUGAGUAACACGUGAGUAACCUGCCCUUGACUUCGGGAUAACUUCAGGAAACUGGGGCUAAUACCGGAUAGGAAUCCUUGCUGCAUGGUGGGGGUUGGAAAGCUUCGGCGGUUUUGGAUGGACUCGCGGCUUAUCAGCUUGUUGGUGGGGUAGUGGCUUACCAAGGCUUUGACGGGUAGCCGGCCUGAGAGGGCGACCGGCCACAUUGGGACUGAGAUACGGCCCAGACUCCUACGGGAGGCAGCAGUGGGGAAUAUUGCACAAUGGGCGGAAGCCUGAUGCAGCAACGCCGCGUGCGGGAUGACGGCCUUCGGGUUGUAAACCGCUUUCAGCAGGGGCGAAGCUUGUGGUGACGGUACCUGCAGAAGAAGCACCGGCUAACUGCGUG